UAUAAAGGCACCCCAUGUUUUCAUUUCAAGUUACAUUUUUAGAGAUUUUAGAGAUUUUAGAGAUUUUAAAGGUUUUAGAGAUUUUUAGAGAUUUUAGAGUGUUUUAGAGAUUUUAGAGACUUUGAAAGGAAUAGAAAUUCAAAAUACCAAACAAAACACAAAAACGGCUAAAAAUUUCCAUAAAAAUUCACUGUUCCAUUGAUUUCUGAUUUCAUUCUUGAGGUUCUUCUUCUCAUGAAAUUUUCUCUGAUUCAUGUGGGGCUUCGAUUCUGCAUUUGGUUGAAAAUAGCCUGAUUUUGGUAUUGAAAAAUUCUGUUGUGAAGCUGGUUCUGUUGUGAUUUUCCCUCUAUUUGAGUUUGUUAUUGUUGUUACAUCUGUUCUAGUCUCAACUCAGUCCUUCAACUUUUUUUUGCUGUUUGUUACCGGGUACGCACCCCUUAUCUUAAGCAUGUAAAGAUCGGUUCUUGAAGUGUUUGAGGAAAGAUGAAGGCUUCUUUUUUCCUAAUCAGAUGUUCUUUUUUCCUUACUUUUCUUUUUAAGCUUGUUAUUUCAAUUUCUAUAUCGUAGCAUGUUCAAAAUGAGGUUGAGCCGUGCAAUUGAAUCUAAUAUUGAAGAUGUAGUGGGGCUGCUAUUUAGUAUUACUGAUUUUCUUCUACUUAAUCCCCUUAGGCUUCGUUACUGUUAAAAGUGUCAAUCGACUUAAGGUUCAUGGUGUGUUUGCAAGUUCAGACUACAUGAGUAUUUUGUUAAUGACAAAGUCAAUAUAGUUAUAGUUGAGCAUGAAUUUGAAAGCUCUAAAUGCUUUUGUUACUGUGGAAUGAGACAUGAAUUUGCAUGUUAUUUUGAAUUGGUUAGUGAUAGCAUCAAAAGGAUUUAUUGGUUCAUGAUUAAGUUUAAAAUGAUCAUUUGGCAUACUUUCUUUAUUUUGUAUUUCAACUUAUGUCCACUUAGGCUCGAUUUUUGGGUUUUCUUUUGCCUCCAGCUUAUGUUUUGGGUAAAAAAAUUUGGGCCUGAAUGCAAAGUCAUCGUGAAAUGAAUUUGCUGCCCCGGGCAGUCCCUAGACUCUCUGCCUUAAGCUAGAGAUUUUUGGUAGAUUGGUGGGCCUAUUGUUAGACCCGUGUUCUUUUUGAACAAAUAAGGGAUUAUAUACUUUUCUUUCGUGAACCAUGGAAUGACAAACUAAGUACAAACUUUAGUUUAGAAGUGGC
rnacentral:lncRNA from 1 species